UGGCGGACGGUGAGUAUGUCUGGGAAACUGCCUGAUGGAGGGGGAUAACUACUGGAAACGGUAGCUUAAUACCGCAUAACGUCGCAAGACCAAAGAGGGGGACCCUCGGGCCUCUUGCCAUCGGAUGUGCCCAGAUGGGAUUAGCUUGUUGGUGGGGUAACGGCUCACCAAGGCGACGAUCCCUAGCUGGUCUGAGAGGAUGACCAGCCACACUGGAACUGAGACACGGUCCAGACUCCUACGGGAGGCAGCAGUGGGGAAUAUUGCACAAUGGGCGCAAGCCUGAUGCAGCCAUGCCGCGUGUAUGAAGAAGGCCUUCGGGUUGUAAAGUACUUUCAGCGGGGAGGAAGGGAGUAAAGUUAAUACCUUUGCUCAUUGACGUUACCCGCAGAAGAAGCACCGGCUAACUCCGUGCCAGCAGCCGCGGUAAUACGGAGGGUGCAAGCGUUAACCGGAAUUACUGGGCGUAAAGCGCACGCAGGCGGUUUGUUAAGUCAGAUGUGAAAUCCCCGGGCUCAACCUGGGAACUGCAUCUGAUACUGGCAAGCUUGAGUCUCGUAGAGGGGGGUAGAAUUCCAGGUGUAGCGGUGAAAUGCGU
rnacentral:rRNA from 1 species